AAUAGGAAAUUAUAAUAUUAAUAAUAACACAAAUACAGAAAUCUUACAAGUGAAAUAACUAAAAUGGUUAAAAUGGUAACCAAAACUUUAGCAGAUUUGUUUGUGUUCAUGUACAUCUCAUGAACAUUUUUUUUUUUAACAUAGAGAGGUGGAUUCUGUCAAACCCCAUGCAAUGAGAACAUCAACAAAACACAAAUGUGAAACAUGGUACGUGGUAUUUGGCUUAAAACAACAAGAAGUUUUACCUAUGUGCAAGUCUUUUAAAUUAGGUUCUAGGUUCUCGUGAGAGAGGAUGAUGAUUCUCCAAUGACAGGCCUAAAUCUGCACGAGGGAGACAUUCUGCCAAUAACUGGCUAUGACAGGAAUGUCAUUCUGGGAAAUCAGUUGAGACGGGAAGUACCCGUCCCAUAUGUGCUGGGAGGGGUAGACCAACAUUGUCUGGCUUUACUCGUGUGUGAAUAGGAAAGUGAAAUGAAAAUAAACUCGAUGAACUUGUUUGUUUUAUUGUCACAUACACUUCUGCUUGCUCACCUUGAAAUAUGGACAUGAUUACCAAAUGGAUUCCACAGGUGUUUGACCGCUUACAGCUAAACUUCAGACCCUUGGAUGAUGAGCCAAACUACACUGCAGUCAUCAAAGACAAUGUGUGGUUCUCUGUAACACUGGACAUAAUUGCAUAGAAUGUUAUGUUGCUGUAGUAUUAUUAACCUACUCUCUUGUGACUCUGGUGACUAUAUCUGUUAUAAUGUAACUUGGUUUUUGUGUGAACCCAGUGUGGGCCUCACUUUCCUCAUGUAAAUGUAUGCUAAUAUGUGUUGUUUUUAGCCACAUUAGCAGGUGGGUUCUGUGAGUGGUAGCAUGAGUCAUCCUUUGGUCCAGACUAAAUUAUUACACUAAUUAUCAUACACUGUUGGAACAAUGUAUGACUAUAUAUCUGUUAUGCACUAUAGUCAAGAUGUCUUUUCUAAUGCCAGUGGAUCCAAAGUCAUCCGAUGGUAUCAGAGUACCAUGAUUGGUCAGUGUCUAGAAAUGAGCCCUUAUGAUGUUCUGAAGCUCCAAAAGCUUUACAGCUGCAGUAAGAAGAUAUUUUACAAAAUAAUGACGCAUGAACAUAUGUUAUUAUUGGUUUUGCAUAAGGUGACAAGUU